UAGACAAAUCAGUGGUAGGCUUAUAACCAAAAUCCCUUAACGCAAGGCUCACGUUAGCAUGAGUAAACGGAACGUCACCGUUUCGUGGCAUUUUGACCACAUUCUUUUUAGCCUUAACACUCAACAAAUUUUCAAGAAUAGACACUAAUUUCCUCACCGACACAGGCGAAGUAUUACCCAAAUUAUAAACCCUCAACUGCGCCGGACCUUUUUUCUUUCCGCCGCUGCCGGUGCUCUUCUCCGCCGUAUCCAGCGCUCCAACACACCCUUUUACUAUAUCAUCAAUGUACGUGAAAUCACGCGCCACCUCCUUAUCAUCUUGUGUUACGUAAACAUUAAUUGAUUUACCUUGUAUCAUAUCCUUAGUAAAGAAAAAAUAAGCCAUAUCGGGUCUACCCCAUGGACCAUAAACAGUAAAAAAUCUUAACCCGGUUAAAGAAAGACCGUAAAUAUGGUUAUAUGUAUGUGCAAUUUCUUCACCUGCUUUUUUUGUUGCUGCAUAUAAACUUGCGGGUUGAUCCGUUUUGUGCUCUUCUGAAAAUGGUACUUUGGUAUUUAACCCGUAAACCGAACUGGACGAUGCCCAAACGAUUGCGGGUUGAGGGUUAGCUGACUUGGCGACUUCUAAUAAGUUAACAAAUCCAGCUAUAUUUGAUUUGACAUAAGAGAGAGGAUUUUGCAUUGCGUAGCGAACGCCAGCUUGUGCAGCUAAAUGAAGGAUAUGAGUAAAGGGAACAAUGUCGAAGAGUUUAUUGAGAAGUUCGACGUCGUUUAUGUCACCUUCGACGAUAAAUAUUUGGUGUUUUGAUAGGAGAUUUUGGCGAGCACGUUUUAAAGAAGGAUCGUAGUAGGAAUUGAAGUUGUCAAGGCCAAGAACACCGUCGCCACGUUUCUUUAAUGCUAAGGAAGAGUGGGACCCAACGAAGCCAGCAGCGCCGGUGACGAGGACGGAGAAGCCGUUGGGGCGGCUAGGAGUGGCGGAGCGACGGACUUGUUUCUCCCACGACGCUCCGCCUCCGUAGAAGGCGGAGGAGAGGAGGUUGUGGGUGGU
rnacentral:lncRNA from 1 species